rnacentral:rRNA from 1 species
GAAGAAACGUUUUCUGCAUCCAGGAUUAGCCUAAAUCCUUUGGGAUAAGGUAUCAUGGAGGGUGAGAAUCCCGUUCAUGGUUAAUCUUAAGGAAGCUCUACGAUACGUUUUCCAAGAGUCGAGUUGUUUGGGAUUGCGGCUCAAAAUGGGAGGUAAAUUUCUCCUAAGGCUAAAUAUUGGCGAGAGACCGAUAGCGAACAAGUACCGUGAGGGAAAGAUGA